rnacentral:rRNA from 1 species
UACGUAGGGGGCAAGCGUUGUCCGGAAUCAUUGGGCGUAAAGCGCACGUAGGCGGAUUGUUAAGUCAGGGGUGAAAUCCUGGAGCUCAACUCCAGAACUGCCUUUGAUACUGGCGAUCUUGAGUCCGGGAGAGGUGAGUGGAACUGCGAGUGUAGAGGUGAAAUUCGUAGAUAUUCGCAAGAACACCAGUGGCGAAGGCGGCUCACUGGCCCGGUACUGACGCUGAGGUGCGAAAGCGUGGGGAGCAAACAGGG